rnacentral:misc_RNA from 1 species
UCUCCGUAGGUGAACCUGCGGAGGGAUCAUUACAGAGUUAAUGCCCUACCGGGUAGAUCUCCCACCCUAUGUUAUUAUUACUUUGUUGCUUUGGCGGGCCGUUAGGCUCCGGCCUGACUACCGGCCUCGGCUGGUUAGAGCCCGCCAGAGGACCCAAUACCCUGAAUUUUUGUGUCGUCUGAGUUAUAUAUAAUAGUUAAAACUUUCAACAACGGAUAUCUUGGUUCUGGUCUUGAUGAAGAACGCAGCAGAUCGGAAGAGCAUUCGUAUGAACUCCAU